CCCCAUAUGGUCUAGCAGUUAGGAUUCCUGUUUUUUUUUUUUUUUUUCACCCAGACGACCCGGGUUCGAUUCCUGGUAUGGGAA
rnacentral:tRNA from 1 species